AACAACUUAUGUUUCAAUGUUUAACACCACAGAAUAACUUUCUGUGCAUUUAUAACAUUAUUUAGGACAUUUUUGAUAUAAAAGCAUAUUGUCAGGAUGGGAAAAGCUAAAAAUAGGACAAACUCAAGUUUUAGGCUCUAAAUUUGCAAUAUGUGACAUUUUGCCCCCAAAAAGAUUGAAAUGUGGCUACUAUUAUCUCAAAUGAUCAGUUAAGACAAAAAAAACAAUUGUUUGCUGAUUUUGAUGUUUCACCGCAUUUUGCUUAAAGGUGUCAUACCACCAAUUAAAAGUCCCUAUCUGUUCAACCAAAUUUUGCAAUUUUCAC
rnacentral:lncRNA from 1 species